ensembl:lncRNA
GGAAAGAGAAUCUGAGGCUCUGCUCCGGCUGAUAAAAGUUCUUGCUUCUGACCUCAAAUGUCGGAUCAAGCCCUUCUGGACACCAGAGACACAUCCAUGCAUCACUGUGACAGGACUGAUCACCCUACAAAGCAGCCAAAGGCUGGUGGUUUCCACUUUGGUGGGUCAAUCAUCGGUCAUCCAUGCAGCAGCACAGAUAAUGUGGUGGUCCUAAAGGAUGAAAGUAUGUGAGAUCGCUGUGGAUCUCCCUUGUGGUUUCAGGAUGGAAUGGAGGGGUGACAGUAAUGUUUCAUAAAGAAGAACAGAGACUCAUCUCAUUUACCCUCUGCUCUCCCGUGUCUACUGGAGCCUGGUCAUCAGACCUCCGAGGAUCUAAAGGAAGAACAAUAUACACUGCAGCGUGGCUUCAGUGGGUGUUUGAGUGCCUGUCUGGCAGCGCUGGUGAUUCAGAAAUGAGUAAGACACGACCGCAGCUCUCAAGGAGCACACAGUCUAGAGGAGAAAAACAUGUAAGUCAGUAAAUGUCAUCGAUGAAAGAGGUGAAAAGGCAGUGGAACACUGAGCCAGAGGCAGAUGUCAGCAGAGAGGAUGUUGGAAGAGGGUGAAAUGUGUGGUUAUGCCUAGCAGCUGAUUCAGGUCAAAAAAAAAAAAACAACACACAUCGGACUCCAGGCGACAUCUAC